UCGCUCAGGCCUCGCCUCAUUGCAUACGCAUUAAUCUUUCGCCUUUUACUAAAGAUUACCGUGGGGUGGGGCACUCGAAUGAGCAAUUAAGUAAUUUUUGUGGGGCCCUUCCCGUUUGGGUGGGGC